UCCAAUUGUGGCAGAGAACCCCAGGACAGGCUGGCAGGCACUGAGGCGGGGGCCUGGCCGGGUCCCUCCACCCGUGACAGGCAGUAAGGCCAGGGCCAGUGCCGACCCCACUUGCCAGUGAGGAACAGAUCUCUGCAAGGCUGCCAAGCAGGGGACGGAGACCCUCUCCUGUCCUCUGUUUGGUGAUGGCCGAUGCUCAGCCCAGACAAUAGUAAAAGGGAGCUAACAGGUCACUGCUCUUCAUAUCCACCAUCACGGCAGACAUCGCUCAUCAAUCACAGAACUCCUCCCCAUCUGCGCAGUCUGGACUGGUAGCAACGAUGAAGUCUACUGCUGUUCUUGGCCUAAUCCUUGCUAGUCCCUUCUCUCGGGGUCCCGUUCCCCAGAGAUGGAUGACCUGGACCCAAAUCACUGCCACAAGAGCCCACCUGCUACUGAGGCUGCUCCAUAUCCUCUCCGCCCAAAUCUCUGCCAGGCAUACGAGAGUGAGCACAAGCAGGCAGAGCAGCAGGGAG